AUACGGAGGGUGCGAGCGUUAAUCGGAAUUACUGGGCGUAAAGCGUACGUAGGCGGUUUGCUAAGUCAGAUGUGAAAGCCCCGGGCUUAACCUGGGAACUGCAUUUGAUACUGGCAGACUAGAGUAUGAUAGAGGGGGGUAGAAUUCCUGGUGUAGCGGUGAAAUGCGUAGAUAUCAGGAGGAAUACCAGUGGCGAAGGCGGCCCCCUGGAUCAAUACUGACGCUGAGGUACGAAAGCAUGGGGAGCGAACAGGAUUAGAAACCCCAGUAGUCC
rnacentral:rRNA from 1 species